UACGUAGGGGGCAAGCGUUGUCCGGAAUCAUUAGGCGUAAAGAGCGUGUAGGCGGCUUGGUAAGUCCGCUGUGAAAGUCCAGGGCUCAACCCUGGAAUGCCGGUGGAAACUGUCAAGCUUGAGUCCGGAAGAGGCGAGUGGAAUUCCUGGUGUAGCGGUGAAAUGCGCAGAUAUCAGGAGGAACACCAAUGGCGAAGGCAGCUCGCUGGGACGGUACUGACGCUGAGACGCGAAAGCGUGGGGAGCGAACAGG
rnacentral:rRNA from 1 species